UAAGAUAAGUCUUUGGAAACUUUUUUUGGUUUUUUGAUUUUAUUGGGGGUCAUAGUUUCUUGGGGCUGGAAUUUAUAAAAUAUUUAUUCUAGUAUUAAUUUUAUAAGUUACUUCGGAGUUAACAGGGCUGGUAGACAUAUAAAUAGGUAAUUUGAUAUUAUAUGCUGCGCUACAUCGAUGUUGUAUAUUUUGUUAUAACUUGGGAGAGAAUAAAUUUUUUUUAAGACUGUUCUUCUUUUAUAAAAAUAAAACUUGAUAUUAGUUU
rnacentral:rRNA from 1 species